rnacentral:rRNA from 1 species
CGUCCUAUUAGCUAGUUGGUGAGGUAAUGGCUCACCAAGGCUACGAUGGGUAGGGGUUCUUAGUGGAAGGUCCCCCACACUGGCACUGAGAUACGGGCCAGACUCCUACGGGAGGCAGCAGUAGGGAAUAUUGGUCAAUGGGCGCAAGCCUGAACCAGCCUUGCCGCGUGCGGGAUGAAGGCUCUCUGAGUUGUAAACUGCUUUUGUACAGGAGCAAAAAAAUCCCUGCGGGGGUUCUUGAGAGUACUGUAAGAAUAAGCACCGGCUAAUUCCGUGCCAGCAGCCGCGGUAAUACGGGAGGUGCAAGCGUUAUCCGGUUUUAUUGGGUUUAAAGGGUGCGUAGGCGGCUUAUUAAGUCAGUUGUGAAAUCCUAGUGCUUAACGCUAGAACUGCGAUUGAUACUAUU